CUGUUCUUAAACUUAAACCUUGAUUUGAUAAUCUCAAUUAAUUACUUUAAUAAAAUUUUGUGGACCCUGAUAACAUCUUUGGAAACCGAAACCUUUUAUAGAUCCCGAUGUGUGUGAUCAUGUUUUAAUACAUGUUGGAACCUCCAUACAGUUACCCCACUUAAACAUAUUCCAUAUGAAGGUCGAGAUGACUUAACUCACACCCCCUCUUUGGGUACACCUAUUUGUGUACCACACAGAUAUAAUAUUAAUAGGCUUUUGAAGAUUUAUUGUGCAUGUAUAGCACGGUUGUCUAGGGGUGUAUACAUAAACAGUGAAAGCAGAGUCUUCAUAUGGGGUUUGCAAUACUGACAGUCUGUGUCAUAGGUGUAAUACAGACAUGCGGUUAGGAACUUUUCCAUUGUCAGAACACUAAUAUAUUGCAAAUAUUAAAAUCAUAUUGCUAUACCUGCAAGGAUAUGGUUUUAAUACUUCAAUUGAGUUCAAAUUGAGUAUCAAAAAUUCUAACCACAAAAACUAAAUUUCAUAUGCUUAUCAAAAAUGAGUUUAACCCCUUAGCAAUUUAAUAGAGUGACCUCUUCCCAUAGUAUGGUUCCUUUUAUAAUUAUUAUAUUAUUUAUUCUCUUCUGGGUCUGCAAAAUGCUUUCAAUAUACCAAUACAAAUAUAAUACAGUAGUUUAGAAUUGCCUCAAAAGAAAUUAUCUGAUCUCUAUUAAAAAUACCAUUUCAUCAUUUUCCUAUAAUCAAUGAGGCAUACUAGAUGAAUCUUAAUCUUGGAAAAAACCUAUCCUAUACAUCCAUAAUUUUUCUUGUUAUAUAACCAUAUAACAUAACACAUUUUUCUUUUCUUAAAUAAUGCAAUGCACUUUAAAAGUAGCGUUAACUCUAAAUACUCCCCUAAUAAUACUGAAACGUGGAUCCACGAUUUUGAAAAGCAAAUUAUAUAUUUAUUCUUUUUCUUUCCCAGGGGCCCCUUUCUUGUUGGCUGAUCAGCGUUUUUUUAAAUCUGUUGUAAAAAGACACUAAAGGCUUGCGUUAAUGACAUGCAAAUAUUCUUUAAAUAUUCUUCAUACUCAUUGUAAUAUCACACAUCAUCUUAUAGCACAGAAAACAUGUAGCAGAUAUCCAGCAGAAAUGCCAAUACAAAAAGCAUAUUCUUGGACAGGUAAUUAACUCAAUCCAAAAUAAAUUAAUAAAUGUCACACUAUGUGACGGACAUAAUUUGGUUCUCAUAUUUGUGCAUUAUGCAUGUCUGCAAACUAUGCAAGCAGUACUGCUUUAAGAUUAGAUCAGAGCACCUGGCAACUGGACAAGAAAGUCAAAUUUUGGCAGGAAGUCCAUUAUUGCAACAGAAUUUUGGAAAUCAGCUAAAAUUUACAAAAACAGACUCCCUCUUUUUUUCUUUCUUAAGACUACAACUCAUAUUGCUCUUGGACAAGUAUUCAAUAAUAAAUCAGUUAUUUAAUAGAUUAUUACGCUGCCAUUUUCAUUUGUAUCAAUACUGAUACUCAAACUUAUUCAAAUAUAAUUUAAAAUAACACAGUAAAAUACCCAUUAACAUACAUGACAAUUAAACUGCGCACUUCAAAAUGAGUACCCAAAACAAACAUUUAUGACAAUCAUCAUUCACACAGAAUAAACUUCUAACAGCUGUAUUCAGAACAUAUUAUUGUAAGGUAUACCAAUUUUAGUUUGUAUUGGAUUUAUUUAAGAUUUCUGGUACCAAAGGGUUUAUUUUUUCUUUUUAAAGAAGGGAUCCGUACGGCCAUAUAACGCGUUUGACUUAAACAUUUGUAUAACACUUGCAUUAACCAGUUGCAACAUAUGUACCCUGUCAAUAGAAUUUCUCUCUUAUACGCUUAUAGAACAUUUGGACCAGAUUACACAGACAUGGUAUCACCUGCAUUUGUCAGAACUCUCAAAGACUCAAAAUAUUUAUACUACUCCAUGUUAAAGGCAUGGCAAAACUUUGACCGGUCAAUUUGAGUUUCCAAAAGUCAUAUCAACACAGGUUAAAACCUUUGUCCAUGGUUUUCUGAUCCUACAUUCCAUGACCAAAAUUUCAAACCCACUUCUUCACAGUUUGGGUCGCAAGCAAUAAAAUCUCAGCAUUCCCAUACAACAAUUUACAGAAUACAUACAAUUUAAAGCACAUACAACAUGUGACAUACUGGAAUACUACAAGUUAGCUUACAGCACAAUAUGAAGCAUGUGUUGGAACGCUGAAAAUAUACAUUUUGCUCUCUAAUUUAUAAUCUUCUAAAUUUACAACAUAAAUUCUCUGCAACAAACACACAGGGCAGAAAGAAUGUGGUGUUUGACGUUUUGAAUGAAGUGACUUUUUGUCCCAAUAUGAAAAUAAAGGGCUCAUCAUAUAAACAAUCAUACAUCCCACUUCUGACACCAAUUUGUUGGGGAUACAAUCAGCCUGGGCCCUUUGUG